CCAAUAGCGUAUAUUAAAGUUGUUGCAGUUAAAAAGCUCGUAGUUGAAUUUCGGGGUUAGUAGGCUGGUCGUGCCAAUGGUAUGUACUGGCUUUACUGAUUCCUCCUUCUUGAAGAACUGUAAUGCCAUUAAUUUGGUGUUGCAGGGAAUCAGGACUGUUACUUUGAAAAAAUUAGAGUGUUUAAAGCAGGCUUACGCUUGAAUACAUUAGCAUGGAAUAAUGAAAUAGGACGUUGAUCCUAUUUUGUUGGUUUCUAGGGUUGACGUAAUGAUUAAUAGGGAUAGUUGGGGGCAUUAGUAUUCAAUUGUCAGAGGUGAAAUUCUUGGAUUUAUUGAAGACUAACUACUGCGAAAGCAUUUGCCAAGGAUGUUUUCAUUAAUCAAGAACGAAAGUUAGGGGAUCGAAGACGAUCAGAUACCGUCGUAGUCUUAACCAUAAACUAUGCCGACUAGGGAUCGGAUGAUGUUAAUUUUUUAAUGACUCAUUCGGCGCCUUACG
rnacentral:rRNA from 1 species